UNUGACUUGAGUGCAGAAGGGGAGAGUGGAAUUCCAUGUGUAGCGGUGAAAUGCGUAGAUAUAUGGAGGAACACCAGUGGCGAAAGCGGCUCUCUGGUCUGUCACUGACGCUGAGGCUCGAAAGCGUGGGUAGCGAACAGGAUUAGAUACCCUGGUAGUCCACGCCGUAAACGAUGAGUGCUAGGUGUUAGGCCCUUUCCGGGGCUUAGUGCCGGAGCUAACGCAAUAAGCACUCCGCCUGGGGAGUACGACCGCAAGGUUGAAACUCAAAGGAAUUGACGGGGGCCCGCACAAGCGGUGGAGCAUGUGGUUUAAUUCGAAGCAACGCGAUGAACCUUACCAGGUCUUGACAUCCCGAUGCUAUUCUUAGAGAUAGGAAGUUACUUCGGUACAUCGGAGACAGGUGGUGCAUGGUUGUCGUCAGCUCGUGUCGUGAGAUGUUGGGUUAAGUCCCGCAACGAGCGCAACCCUUAUUGUUAGUUGCCGUCAUUAAGUUGGGCACUCUAGCGAGACUGCUGGUAAUAAACCGGAGGAAGGUGGGGAUGACGUCAAAUCAUCAUGCCCCUUAUGACCUGGGCUACACACGUGCUACAAUGGUCGGUACAACGAGUUGCGAGCCGGUGACGGCAAGCUAAUCUCUGAAAGCCGAUCUCAGUUCGGAUUGGAGGCUGCAACUCGCCUCCAUGAAGUCGGAAUCGCUAGUAAUCGCGGAUCAGCACGCCGCGGUGAAUACGUUCCCGGGCCUUGUACACACC
rnacentral:rRNA from 1 species